rnacentral:rRNA from 1 species
AUAUUUGUUGAUUAAGUAUUAAGAGUAUAGAAAUAUUGUAGGUAAAGUACUGUAAAGGAAAAACAAUUUGUUUAUUAGUAAAAAUUUAAUUUUGUACCUUUUGUAUAAUGGGUUGAUGAUAUAUUUGUUGCUUAUGUAACUAUCUCGAAUUAAAAAGAUUUAUUUAUUAAGUACAUGUUAACGUUGUAAAGUUAUAUGGUGAUUGAUGAAUGGUAAUGAAAUGUUAGUCGUUUUUUAGGAUAGCUAGUUUAUUGGUAGAGGCAUUUAAGUGCUAUAGUAUUAGUAUAAUAUAUAUAUAUAUAUAUUUUAAUGCUAGUUUAUUAUAUAGGGGAUAAGCUCUAUAUAGAUUUAUAGAAUUUUUUAUUAUUUAUUAUAUUUAAAGUAGGGUUAAUAUGUUUUUCUUUAAGAUGUUAGGUAGUAUAUAAAUUAAUAUUCAAUAGGAAGCUAAUAAAUAAUUAUUAAUUUGACUAGUUAAAUAUAAUGUUAAUAUGAGUAUUAGAUAUUUAUUAAAUUUAUAUAGGUAAAAUUGUAAUGAUUUAUAUUAUAAUAAAAUAAUGAAAUAAAAUAAAGGAAUUCGGCAAAUAAUAAUCUCGCCUGUUUAUCAAAAACAUGUCUCCUUGUGGAAAAUAAAUAAGGAGUCGGGCCUGCUCGGUGAAAAUUUUUAACAGCUGCGGUAUUUUAACUGUACUAAGGUAGCAUAAUAAUUUGCCUUAUAAUUUGAGGCUAGAAUGAAUGGUUUGACGAAGGUUUAUCUGUCUCUAUUUUAUUUUUUAGAAAUUAAUCUUCAUAGUGAAAAAGCUUGAAUUUUUUAAAGGGACGAGAAGACCCUAUUGAGCUUGUAAUUUUAUAUAAUUAUAUUUAUUAAAUUUGUAUAGUUAUUUAUAAAUUUUAGUUGGGGUGACUAAGGAAUAAAGUAAGUAACUUCCUUAGAGUAAAGAUUGUUAAAUAAAGUAACCAUAUUCAAUAUUGCUUAUAAUAUAGUUACCAUAGGGAUAACAGCGUAAUUUAUUUAGAGAGCUCAUAUUGAAAAAUAAGAUUGCGACCUCGAUGUUGGAUUAAAGUAACCUUAAGGUGCAGAAGCCUUAGUUGGUAAAUCUGUUCGAUUUUUAAAACUUUACAUGAUCUGAGUUCAGACCGGCGUGAGCCAGGUUGGUUUCUAUCUUUUAAAGAUUUUGAUUGCUUCUUUUAGUACGAAAGGACCAAAGAAAGCUAAA